UACGGGGGGGGCAAGCGUUGUUCGGAAUUACUGGGCGUAAAGGGCUCGUAGGCGGCCAACUAAGUCGGACGUGAAAUCCCCAGGCUCAACCUGGGAACUGCGUCCGAUACUGGAUGGCUUGAAUCCGGGAGAGGGAUGCAGAAUUCCAGGUGUAGCGGUGAAAUGCGUAGAUAUCAGGAGGAACACCGAUGGCGAAGGCAGGUCUCUGGGCCACUACUGACGCUGAGAAGCGAAAGCGUGGGGAGCGAACAGG
rnacentral:rRNA from 1 species